UAUACUCGCGCUAUAUGGCUUUCUUUUGUUCGUAAUGUAUUGUUUGAAGCUGAUUGCCUUAAGGAUUUUUUGGUUCUUUUAAGUACCGUUGUCGAUUGUUCAUGGUGAUUCUUGAAGGUGCCGUGUUGUGUGGGUUUAGAAUGUAGUCUACAGUCUUCUCAGUGUAUGGAUUGGAAGAACUGGACAUCUUGACAUAUUUAGUUUAGAGAGCAUAAACCUAUCAUAGAGGGUUAUACUAUUUUUUCCCUCUUAAUGGAUUAUAGAUGUGAGCAUCUCUUUUGUAGCAAUAAGCGCAGCGUGUGCUUUUGCCAUUAGAUAAUGCUGCUUUUAAUUGUCACGACAUAGGUCCUGCUUUGAAUUUUUUGGUCAGAUCACAUAUAUUACUUAAGCAAAUGAAUGGGUGACAUAGAUUGAGAAGUGAAGCUGACUUGAAUUGCAUGCAUUAGGUCAUAUCACUGAAUGUAUAUGUAUUUGACUUAUAAAUUGCUAUGUGAAGAGGUUCAUUGAGAAGUGAACCAACCUGACCUUAACUUUAUGUGUUUGGGUGGUUGAAUGCGGGUCUUAUGAGUUCAUGGCUCAAAUUUCAUGCAUCAUGGUUUGAUUACCUAAUUGAGGAGUCUGAUAAUGGUUUACUUCUUUGCCUCUUCUGGGCAAAAGUUCUACUCUUAUGAAUUUUUUCCAUAGUUGAGUGCUGAUCUUUUCGCUAGACAUCCUAGUAUCUGUGCUUUGUCUUUAGUUAUUGAAAAAAAUUAUAGUCACUUUUCGUGUACAGUGCGGCAUAGUUUGCAUUUGAUUUGAUGAAACCUCUUUGCCGUUUUGGAUGUCUUUAGUAUUGAUUUCUCCAAUCACGCAUGGUAUGCAAAGAGAGCUCUAUAAUGCUUUCAUGGCAAUUUGAAAUGAUCUAGCAGGUUUUUGUUGGAGGAAAUAGCAAGGAGCUCAAUUGCUUUAUGCUCCAUGUUGUUCAUAUACAAUGUGAUGGAUUGUGUGAUGCCAUUUGACUUUGAUCUGAUGAAACCUCUUUGCCGUCUGUGAUGUCUUUAAUAUUGAUUUCUCCGAAUACGCAUGGUAUGCAAAGAGAACCCUAUGAUGCUUUCACGGCAAUUUGAAAUGAUCUAGCAAGUUUUUGUUGGAGGAAAUAGCAAGGAGCUCAAUUGCUUUAUGCUCCAUGUUAUGCAUGUACAAUGUGAUGGAUUGUGUGAUGCCAUUUGACUUUUGCCAUGCUGAAUGAAGAACGUUGGAGCAAUGAUUGGUCAACUAAGACUAGAUUACAAAUUUGUUAUACCAAGUGAUGUGAUCGGAUUGUGAAUGAGAAUUUGAACAAGUGAGCCAUAUUGAAUACCCAAUUAGCAUCUGCAACAUCACUUAAUACCAAUUCCACAAUCUAGUCUCAGUACACCUAGCAGUAUUCACUUAUCUGUUAGGAUUAGUUUUCAAGGUUGUAUGGACAUGUUUGGAAGUAUACUAUGCUCCCCUAGAAAUUAAAUCUGGAGGAUAACAGAUAAAAAUCCCAAUGAACAUUGAGAGCAUAUCGGUAUGUACUGUAAUAUUUUCGAGUUUGUUGUCAAUGUUACUGUUGUGGAGUGUGUUUGCUGAAUUAGAAAUAUUCACCUAGCAAAAUUGGAUUGGGUCAUGAGUCAAAUUAAUUAUUACGAAUAGUUUCAUUAUUGAGUACAUGGAUGUGAUUGAUUUGGGGAAGAAGAUAACAUUUGCUAACUUUUCAUUUGUUGAUUUGCCUCAUUGUUAAUUUACAGAAAUUUUCAUAGUUUCAUCUUAUUAUCUCUAUUAAGUUGAUAUUGAAAUUACUCAAUUUGGAAGUCAAAUAUUUUUCACGUCUCUGAUUCAUCGUCAUGUGGCACCUGCAAGACCCCCUGUUUUAAAUAAAAAUUUCUAUUUUCUUUUCCUUUUGGGGUUACAAGCAAGUCAAGUUACUCAUUGGAACUUGACUAAUUGACUUACUGUAUAGCUUGAGUAUCAGGCUUACAAAAUUCGUUGAGGCCUGAUACUUGCAUGAAAAGACGGAUAGAAUUAUGUUUUAUAAACAUGAGAAGAAGGAACAGGAUAUCAUGUAAUUGUUUUUCUAUAUUGAAACUCUAUUUUGAGUUCGAUAGUGAGCUAGCUUAUGCUAGAAUAAUCACUAAGACAAUUGCUUCAGGUGGAGUUGAGCUCAACCAUAAAGAGUAAUUUAUCAAGUAGAGCUUACACUUGAGUUUUCUUGAUUGACUUCAAGCUGUGUAUCAAGUAUUGAAUUAAUGUAUCAGCUUGACCUCUAAUGAUAGUCUCUGAUGACUCGAUUGGGAUCUGUUUUGCCCAUGUUGCUACAUAUUUAUUGGCAAAAGUAAGGACAAUUUAGAAAUUUGACUGUUCUCAUUGUGAUACGGAAGCUUGAUGCAGUCUUUUCUCUGCUGAUAAUACACAGAGAAAAGUACUUUGAUUGUGUGGAGUGAGAUUAGGGCACAGCCACAGACUAAAUAGGUUCAGUAGUUGCCUUCAGAAUUACAUUUGCUCCUUGUAUUCUGAAGUGAAACAUUUUUUCUGCAAUCUACUUCUGGAGCAACGUUAGAUUGGCCAGGCGGAUGCCAAUGUAGAUACACGUUACCGCUUCAUUAUUCUUGAUUUGCUUGAUGAUCCCGUUUGGUGGUAUAAAAUAUUUUCUGGAAGGGUCUGCAGUGUUUUUGAUGUGCUCGAUGUUCUCAUAUUCCUGUAUUUUGUGUGUUGUAAGUACAACAAAUUAUGAUGCUUUCUAUUAUGCAAGUAGUAGAAUUACAAUAAUAUAGCUUAUGGUUGAUAAAAUUAGGUGUGAAUCACCACUUUUUUUAUGUGCUCAAGUCUUUUUUCCUCUUCCAACGGUAAUAUGAUAGUAUCUUUGAUAAAUUUAUCAUAAACAAAAGGGUAUAUGUGGCAUUUAGAAAUUGUUUCUUUAUGAGUUGUUGGUUGUAAUAAUACAGAAGGUUGCUGCACUAGAUAUAAGAAUGAGCUAUGGAUAUGUGUUUUGCCUAUUUUAGUAUGCUUUGUUUGUGAGUUAUUCAUCUGGUUGAAAGACCAUUACGAAUUUGUUCUUCUGCUGAGAUAUGAGUACUUCUUUUGCAGCAGUGUGAAGAUUCAUGAAUUUAUUUGUGCAAGAUGAAUGAUUCUCUCUUUUGAUCCGCAGAGGGGGGGAUUGGUUUUAUUUUCUCAGUAACCAUUCCUAUGAAACUCUUCUGUUUGAGUGACAUGCUUAUCAUCCAUUUAUCCAUUUCUCUCCAGCCUUUCUAGAAAUUGAGUCUUUCUUUGUGAAGUUUAUUGUCAGUCUAAAAAGACUAUCUGGAUUCCCACCUUUGUUGGCCUCAUAUAGCUUGUCUGAUGAAGUAUAGGGAGAAUAGAUGUUAAAUUUAUUCUUCUGUAAGGUUGAGACAUACUUGCUUCGGAACUAUGUAAUGCUAUAUUAGUCCUUAUUAUGAACUAUGAAAGCUUUAGUGGAUUUUAAUUGUUGAAUGGGUGCUAAUUAGGAUAAGAUGAGAGAUAACCAUUUGAGAUUGUGGUCACAUGAAACAGUUCCAUUCAGAUGUUUCUGUAACCUGCUGGAAUUUUACACUAUCCAGGUCAAAUGAAGGAAACGGAAUUGACUUAAUGAAGGAUAUGGGGUACUUGGGUAUCACUAUGAAUAUAUGUUACUGAAUGCAAAACAGAAAAAAAAAUGUCUUUUAUUUUUAGCUUUUUACUUACUUCAAAUAUGAGGUUAUCGUUGCAAUGAUUCUUUUUACUUAUCUGAUUUGUGGGUCUAUCAUGAAGUGAGGUGACUAAAUUUCUGCACGGAAUUUGUCAAGUAAUAGUUACUAUGUAACUAUUUCCCCUUGAUUGGUUGGCAUUGUCGUGUCCAUGCCAUGAGGAUUUGACUAUGUCAGUAGCUUUGUUCUUGACUGUGUAUGUGCCAUUAUAGUUUUCAUUUGUUAGCAUGAUGAUUCUUGUUCGUUUUAAGUCUGUUAUUUGGCGCUUUUUAGUUUUGGCAUAUUGUCCAGAUGGAUAGAUGUGCAAAUUGGCUGCAUUGAAUUCAUAGUCAUGAAAAGGGGGGUUAAAGGCAGAAUAACAAGAUAUAGAUCACUAAAACCAUCAGUUACCUUUAGAAGUGCCUCUUUGAUUAUAGAACUAGGACUAGGAACUUCUUUAGUAAACUUCUAGACUUGCUGGAGAUGGAUUGUUAAUGGAACCUUGGAGGAUCCUGAUUUUUGGCCUUAGCAUUUUCUUCAGAUUUGGAGUUGCUAGGAACAUCCGCAAUUAAAGUGCUUUCACGAGAAGUAUAGCCUGGAAGGGUGGAGGGAUGCUAAGAAGGAUGUUUAAAUCAUGGAUCUUUCCUAGUAUUUGGUACUAUAUGGUUAUGAGAGGAUCCAUCUAAGCAUGUGAUUGAUUGUUUCUGGUUGACAGGCUGAUUGGUGUCCAAAACAUCUGACACUGCUUAAAAGUUAAAUUGAAGUGAUCAAAACUGAUGAUUUGUGGUUGAUUCUGUUUGAGGACAAACAUCUAGUCUUUCUAAUCCUUUGGUUCAGUUUUUCUGUUUGUUUCCAGCCACAGUGGCAAAAACAAUAGGCUUGAAGAGGAUUUGUUCUUUAUCUACAUUAUGCGGUGUAUAAGCAUACAACAACAUGAAAACCUUUUAUGGUAUACAAAAAGUGCAUUGUUACCAUAAAUAUUUCUGACUGAUUUCCUUGAAGGUACCAAGGGGGGUUCCUACAGCCCCUACAUAACGGCUUCAUAAUGAAAGACACCCCUAUGCAAAAUUAUGCACAAAAGAUUGCUUCUGACAUUUCAAACAAACUAGAAAUAUGGAAUUGUACUGCCUACAAUACACAAUGUGAAAGGGGUAUGACCAACCAUUGUUAAAGAUCUCUCAAGCUGUUUCAACCUGUCUUUCUCCAAAAGACAAGUAGAGAAAUCAUCGCACUAUCUAUUAUCCAACACACGAACUAAUGGCCCCUCUCCAAGCUCAAAAUUCGUGUAGUAUCAUGCCUGAAUUCACCCUCUUUACUUAAAAAAAAUGCAAAAAUGUAGUCCAAAGUUGUCUAGCCUGAUUACAAUGUAAAGUGAUUCACAGUCUCCCCCUCAUCUUACACAAAA